rnacentral:rRNA from 1 species
GCAGGCGCCCAAGCUGUUGUUGACGACUGGGGUGAAGUCGUAACAAGGUAGCCGUAGGAGAACCUGCGGCUGGAUCACCUCCUUU